ACAACAACUGUGGCUUUAGUGGAUUCUCAGUCAAAACCACAAUGGGGCAAGAGGAAGAAGAAUGAGAAAUUUGAGCGAAGCAGAGAAAAACACGGGGACAAGUAUACCAGAAUGCCAGUUCCGGAGACUAUCACAUGCAGCGAGAAGGCAUUCAGGAGCCUGUACGAACAAUGGGUCGAGCACGAAGUGGUGAAACCUCCAAGGCCCCGGUUGGUUAUGACGGAAGAGAUGAAAAGAAGACCAAAUUUCUGUGUAUACCACCAAUACGCGGGGCACUCCACUAUGGACUGUUACAGUCUGCGGAGGAUAUACCAUGAGAAGCUGGCGGCCGGGGAGAUUGAACUAGGAGAAGAAAUGUGCAACACUAUCACCCAUGGUGUAGUCCCGGAAGUAAAGAACCCAAAUACUGGCUCUACCAUCGAAAGAACUCUGAACUACAGAUGAAUUAAAAAUCCACCCAAGAUGGUGGUCCACCAAAAAUGGUGGUUUAAGUCCUCAGGAAUAUCCCUUGCCAAGUAAUUGGAUGACCAAGGGAGGAGGCACAAGAAUUGAC
rnacentral:lncRNA from 1 species